AAUAAGCUAAUAUUGUUGCGCCUAACAGAAAACGUUGAGGGGAUGCGCAAAGAAAUCAUUGAUCUUAAAAAAGCGGUAUCACAUAAUAACGCUACUAUCUAUUAUACCAAGCAAGCCGUAUGCUAAUAUUGAAGACUUCCUCAAUUUUGAGAAAACUAUUCUGGAAGAUAUAGAUAAAUUUUCCUUGCUGAAGGUAGAUCUAAAAAGAUGGUCAACAUCCAAUUCGAGAAAAUUUGUUACGAAAGCGGGGCAGAAGAUUAUGACUGACAACGUUGCUGAGAGCUUUUCCUGGCGAGGAACUGCAGAUAAGAAGUGCAUUAGGGCCUUCACUGUCGCCACUGCUAUUCAUCAAACUUUCGCUGAAAAUGGAGGCAAGGAAGAGGACUUUGUGUUUGCCUCUAAGUCAUAUUUCCAGUAUGCAAAAAAUCGUAUUAAAAUUAAAAUUACAAAAAAAGUGAACUAAGAUACUAAGUAGUAAUGAUUUUUUAAAUGAAAAAACAAUGAAGUUCCUAUUUUUAUAUUUUAAUGUAAUAUAAUUCUGCGAAG